GACGAACGCUGGCGGCGUGCUUAACACAUGCAAGUCGAACGGAAAGGCCCUGCUUUUGUGGGGUGCUCGAGUGGCGAACGGGUGAGUAACACGUGAGUAACCUGCCCUUGACUUUGGGAUAACUUCAGGAAACUGGGGCUAAUACCGGAUAGGAGCUCCUGCUGCAUGGUGGGGGUUGGAAAGUUUCGGCGGUUGGGGAUGGACUCGCGGCUUAUCAGCUUGUUGGUGGGGUAGUGGCUUACCAAGGCUUUGACGGGUAGCCGGCCUGAGAGGGUGACCGGCCACAUUGGGACUGCGAUACGGCCCAGACUCCUACGGGAGGCAGCAGUGGGGAAUAUUGCACAAUGGGCGGAGGCCUGAUGCAGCAACGCCGCGUGCGGGAUGACGGCCUUCGGGUUGUAAACCGCUUUCGCCUGUGACGAAGCGUGAGUGACGGUAAUGGGUAAAGAAGCACCGGCUAACUACGUG
rnacentral:rRNA from 1 species